GCCCGCCAUAGUUUAUCCAAAACAUCGACCUGCAAAAUCGAGAAAGGAAGAAUUUCCUGGUGUGUU
rnacentral:tRNA from 1 species